CAGUUAGGCAGAGAACUGCACUGUGGUCUCCCUUCCUCACUUCUUUCCCUCCCUGUUUUUCCUUUUCGAAAAUGUGAUACCUGAUCUCUAGGUCUUGCGGGCUGAGAAAUUUUUUGUAUUUGUAUAAUGCAGUGUCUGGCCUUCCCCCUGACCUGCUGAUGUAUUUUUGGCCUCAUUAGUAGUCAGGGAGAUGCCUUAGUGCAUCCAGCACUGCAAGUCAGGGAUGAGACACACUACAACAGGAGAGGGAGCAAGCGCGAGAGGAUAUUAGAAGAGAGGCUUGUCUCCAAGAUAUGGAAGGAAGUGAGAAAUGACAGGGCUGCAAGCUUUGUAUGUAGGAGCCCGGCAGGGCGGGGGAGCGGCGAGGAGAGCCAAGUGGAUUCUCAGAAAAGGGGGGAAGCCAUCGAAGAGCUAAAGGUGAUUAGAGGGGGAUAUUGAUUUCUUAUUCUGCCAGAGAUUUAAGCAGGCAUGCGAGGAAUCUGCACCAUGGUUGGCAAAAAGAGACCCGUUGCCUCCUGUAACCAGACACUCAGGCUUUCCAGGAGCCCAGGGAGCAAGCCGAGAAGAAAGGGGGCAGUGUGGUCUAGGAAAAUUCAACUUGUCGCUGAUUUGUGCCUGAUGCCUGCUGUCCGUCAGCAGCCUCCCUUACAAUCUUUUUUUCUCUCUCUCCUUUUUUUUUCCUUGCCUUCUCCUUCUUCACUGAAGCCUAGGGGAGCCAGUAAAGAUUAAAUGUGCUUCUCAAAGGCAGCCACUUCAUGCUGCUAUGUCGAAAGGGCCAUUAUUAUUAUUAUAUUUUAAUGGUAAAAGAGAAAAGGAGAGAGGUUGAGCGAGCGAGAGAGAAGCUAGGUGUGAUGAUGACAGACUAGCUUUUCUGAGAGGAAAAGGAAAAGGGAAGGGAGAGAAAAAGGAGAGCCUCUGAGCUCAACGGAGGAUUGUGCCUGAGAAGAACCCACAGAGGCCUGGAAUAAAAGAAGAACAAGAAGAAGAAAGAAAUGAAAUGAAAAACAGAAAGAAAAAGGAGAAGAAACAUUUGUAAAAGGGUCAUCUUCCCAUCUGCCUCCCCUCCUUUUCCUUUCAUUUUUGGUGGCGGCACAGGAAAGCCCCACUUCCAGUCUGAUGAGGAAAGCGACAAUCUAUCAGCCUGGUGCUCGCUCUUGGUGAUUUGGCCUUGACUUCAGCCAAGCAGCUGAUGCAGACGAAGCCUCCGUUUGCAGGACUGGCAAAGUGCACGCUAAAGAAAGAAGGAAGAAAUUUUUCAAAAAGCAGCUCUGGGGAGGUUUCAUACUCCCCCCCCCCCCCCGCCUUUUUUUAAUUUUUAAGUGAAUAUUUUCCAAAUUUGAUCAGUUCCAGCCCCUCCCUCCACUCCCACCCAACUGCCCUUUUUUCUCUCGUCAAAGCAUAAGCUACAGAGUUACAGUCUCGAGAUUUGGUGUAUCGCUUCCUGCCCCCGCCUCCCCUCCCCGCCCCCGUUCUCCGUCCUCUAUUGAAACACCUCGCCCAGCCUAGCGCACUGAGAGCUCUCAUUUUCCCCCCUUGCUCGGGAUGGUGCCACAGGAGGCUGUGCGGGCCCCGCUCCGCUUCGAAUGGUUGUGUUGAUGUUCCUUUCAGCUGGUCCUAUAGUACCCCUCCUCAGGAAUGUCUCCCCAGUGCAAGGACAAAGACUGAAGAGACUGCUAUAUUGAUGGACUCUCAAGCCAACUAUGAAGUUGAAACAAAGAAAGUGAUCACCUGAAGACACCUCCUCUGCUAAGAAACACCCCCAAAUUGUGCAGCUUCUGCCACUAGAACUCUCAGAACAAGAGACAAUCUUUUCAAGAAACAGAAAAACUCAAUAAUGACAUCUAGAUUUUCAUGAGCCAAGAACUUUCCCUUCCUCAUGUGUAUUCCUCUGUUUGUACUUAAAUUCAUGUGACAUUCAUUUUUUUCCUAGUAUGGAUAUGCUUAUUAAUGCACUUGUUUCAAAAUCCCAAAUUGCACAAAUGUGUUAAUAUUUUAAGAAACAAAAUGAAUCCUACAAGGAGAAUGAUUUUUAGCCACACAUAGGGUUGGAUCUUGAGAGUGACCUACAGAAUAAAAGUACUUUUAAAAUAAAGUAGUCAGAGGCUAUUCAAAGGGUAAAAUAAUCAUAGUACCACAUUGGUCCACUUGACACUAACCAAUCGAUCAUUUUUUUUUAAUCAAGAAAGCUAGAUUCUAUCAGAUAAAAUCACUGCUUCUAAAGAGUUUAAAUCUAGUUAGAAAAAGUUAUAGAAAUGUUUGCAAAGAUAAGUAACAGAUAGAGUCAGUAGAGGAUAAGAUCAAAAACAAAACCAAGCAAAAGAUGAGUUCAGGGGAGUUUGCCAUCAAGUUGGCAAAACUGACUUACUUAGGGAAGAAAGUUAUAAAACAGGAAAAUAUGAGAUGAACCUUGAGUGAUGUGGAAGAUUUAGAUAAAUGGAAAGGAAGGAGAAAAUGGAGUUCUUUAGGUGGUUGUAAUUGGAGGAGGAAAUGAAUACACACAUCUUGUUGACUUAAACCCAGACAUUCAGCAGCUCUCUAUACAUAUCUGGAAAAGACUGCACAGUCACCUCCUGUCUCUCACCCCAGGUAUUACUUAGAAUUAUUAUCAUAUUUCCCUUCCUUUAAAGUAAGUAAGGGUGAUUGGUGACAAUAUGGAGAACUAUGAUUUUUCCAUUAACCUAAUAAUAAUUGGUAUUUAUUGAGUUCUGUUAAGCAUUUUACAUAUUAACUCACUUAAGCCUUUCAACAGCCUUGCAAAAUAGGUAUUAUUAUCCCCAUUUUACAGGCAAGAAAACUGAGGUUUAAGUAACUUGCCGAAGUGCCAUAUACAGGGCUCACAUUCAGUAUUGCAGUUGCAAAGCUCAUGAUCUAUAGUGCCAAGUUGCAAUAUUGUAGUCAAUGUCACAAUUAUUACCCCUUUUUAUAUUCCUUGAUAUUUUUCCAUGGCAAACAAUUAGCUAUUUCAUUUAAUAAUCACCUAAAACUUUUCAGUCUUCUGAUUAAAAUUACGCUGGAGUGAUAGAAUGUAUUUUCAUGAUAGAAAUUGGGAAAAAAAAUGGGGAAUGAAGUUUAUCAGCAUUUCAGACUUGUUUUUUUUUUUUUUUUUUGCAAGACUUUGAUGAGAUUGUUCACUUUUGUCUAUGUAAAAUCCCAAAUCCUUGAGAAUAAAAAAGGGGGAGGUUUAAGUCACUUGUUGCAAUGCCCUUUUUAAUAGAGGCAAUAAAUCUAAAGGCCAUAAAUUUAGAGUGACUUACAGAAGAUCGAACUUUGGAGUGUGGCAGAGUAAGGGAUGGAAACCGGGCCCUCCAGUUCACUAUCAGUAGCUUUUGCACUGGUCUGCCCUUCCUAAAUUAAGUAUGCACUUCAAUUUGAUGAGUGGAAACAGUCUAUCUGGGCAGUAACCAGGGAGCUUUGUGCCUAGUAGAUUGCUUCUGUUCUGCACUUCUUUGGUUUCCCACCUCAAUGUAAAAAAUAGCUAGCAAUGAAGUCCAGAAGUUGUCAAUGGUUCAUCCCCAGAAGAAUGCAUAAUGUCCAAAGUUGUAUGUGUAUGAUGUCUUCAAUGGUAUUAAGUUAUUUCAAAUUCUUAGUUCACCUACAUAAAUCAUUUCUAACAAGCAUCUUCUUAACCAACUUUAUGCACAGUGUAUGUUUGUAAGUGCUUCUGCACGAAUGUUUAUACAUGACUGUUUCCAUAGUACUUAUGUUUUUAAAAAUAUUCAGUCAUUUCCUACUAUAAUCCUCAUGUAUCCAUGUAACUGACUCAAAAAUACUUCAGCCACAGAAAGCUAAAACUGAGCAAAUCUCAUUCUUCUUUUCCAUCCCCUUUGCAUGUGGCUGGCAUUUAGUAAUGAUUAAUAAUAUGGCCAGCUGAAUAACAGAGGUUUGAGACACAAUUCUUUCUCAAAGGAGUCAGCUAAGCUGGGUCUACUUAUGGACAAACAUCUAAAUGUGUGGAAGUAUCUGAUAUUUGACAAUGGUAAAUUUCCACUUAGCUAGCUAGCAUUGUCAGACUUCAAUCUCCUCAUGGCUCUGGCCGUCCUGUUUUAAGCAUGAUAAUUGUUGGCCACAUCUCACAUAGUUCUCAUUGAGUGAGUUCAUAAAUAAACAGGGUUUUUUUUUUUUUUUAAAGAGCAGCCAAGCACAAAGUGUGACUUUGUUGACAUUUUAUGUGACUUUGUCAUAUGUUCCUAACCCCCAAUAAAAGCAAUGUUGCAUCAACU
rnacentral:lncRNA from 1 species